rnacentral:lncRNA from 1 species
CAAAAUAUUCUAAAAUUAAAAUCUUGUUCAUUCAUCCUAGAUCUAAAUCAACUAACAAAAACUUUAAAAUGUUUGAAAUCAGAAUCAAAGAAAUCAUAUACAUACUUGUUAAUUUUAUUUAGAUUUUUUUUAUCCUUUUGUUUCUUCUAGUGAUUAUUUUUGUGUGUUUUAGGUUCGAACAAAUUUAUGAAAAUGAAACACAUUUAGAAAUUUUAAAGAAGAUGAAGAGGAGUCAAUGCGUGUUUCAUAGGUUAAAAAAAUCAGUAGGUUUAAAGAUGAUAAGUGAAAAAUUAAUGGUGAUAAAAGUGUUGAAUUUGUAGUGCAGAUGAAAAUAAAAAUGAGAAAAAUGUAUAUGAAGAUGAGAAAGAGGAGGAUGAAGAUGCUAAAGAAAGAUAAAAAUGGAGAUAAGGAGGUGAAUAAAGAACAAAACAAAUAAAGAAAAAAAUAACUAAAAAUACAUACACACACAUAUAUGUGUAUAUUUAUGAAAAAAAUAUGAAAAUAAACUUUAAUUUUUAUUUUCGGUUCUCACCCUCUCAAGGAGAGUGAAAUACACUCACUUUACUAGGUAAGCAUUUAAGGAGAUAAUAAUAUUAUUUUUACACAUUUUAGGGGGGGUGAUAGGACUCUCGUGAAGGUUGACUCUGUAGUUGAAAUUUCGGUAAAGGUUGGAGGGGUAAUAGACAAUUUUCUCUUUAAAAGUGCAUGACGGAUUCACAAAUCCUUCCCAGAUUUUGUUCCAUUUUAUGUUUUGCAUAAAUCCUCUUCUACUCUUUUUAUUUCCAGACAGAUUAUUAGAUUUAAAAUUGGCUAUGUAUAACUUUAAAUUUUGAUUCAAUUUCUUCAAAUACAUUAUCAUCAAUUUCUUCAAAUACAUUAUCAUCUACUCAUCUAUAUCAACAUAUGCGGAAGCACACAAAUUUAUACAUGCUUGAUUCUGACCCUAAUGUUGAAUGGGAUGUUAAUUUUAAUAUAUAUGCAUGCUUAUUGAUUAAUUAUGGUAAAAUAUGUUGUUAAAAUAGAUGUUAUGAUUAAUUGAUUCGGUCUCUCAUUGAAAUUAAAGUAAAGCCAUGCGUUGUAAGUAGAUUUUAUUUUGACUAUUUUCUCUCUUUAUAUGACAACUUUGGUACUUGAAUAUUUAUGGUAAAUAUUUGUGUGAUUGAGUAUAUGUUUUGGUUAACUCACUCAAUUUAAGAUUUUUGAAUGAAUUAACAGGCUCCUUAUUGUCUUCUAUUUAUGGUGAAAAUUUUCAAGGAAGGAAAAUCAUGUGAGCUCUC